GAAGAAGAACAUAUUUUUUUUAGAAAAUUUCUGAUUUUUAAAUAUUUUGCAGUCAAGAGUAAAUACAGGUGCUGAAUGUUUUAGAGAAUAAAUAUUAUUAUUUUGACAUCUGAAAUUAAAAGUAGCUGUAAACCUUGCAAGAAACCCAAAUUACCUUAACAGGGACUUUAUUUGUUAGAUAAUGUUAAAUUUCUAAAUAACUGUACAAGGAUUACUAAACGACAUACGCAGAAUGUGGGGGAUUCCCAUCUAGGCUCCGCGCAUAGGAUAUCGCAGCUAGACGCCCCUUUUCUCGUUCCCCGCCCCUAAAAUACAAUUGCGUGACCGUGUGAAGUCUUGUGGACAGGCGAUAAGAAAAACGACGCUUUUUUAUGUCAGCACAAAAGCAACUGUUGCCGCACACACGAUGGCUGCAUGUAAUAGCCAUCUGGAAUAGGGAGUUUUUUCUUCAUCUUAGAUCUAAAAGCGUGGUGGGAGUAGUGUUUGAAACUAGCAAUACCGCUCCGAAACCUCAGUCCCCGUCUGAAGAGAUCCACUGCCAAUAUACUGCUGGGUAUAUCCCACUGUUGAGAUGAUUCCUCUUAUUAAUAUGUGUCCGACGAUUGGAGGCGGUCUGUGCCCGCAGCUGAAGCAGACUAAGCCGAAGCGGAAAAACUUUUCACUGCACGAGCAUGUGCCGUGUCGCUGGCACGUGCCACGUGGCGAUUGCCUGUGCUGCGCUCCAAACUCAGCGGCAGUGCGAAGAUAAUGUGAUGAUUGCAAGGCUGCUUCAGUUUCCUGCGCGGGAUUUGCUUUCAUGUGCUGCCAUUCGGCCUAAUAAAAACAGUUGUUUCCUCUGCCAUCAGGCAC